AUUAGCGAGGCCCUAAGCUUCUUCACAAGGCCCUGUGUCUAAAUAAAAUAUUUUUUAAAAGGCUGGGGAUGUGGCUUGGUGGUUAAGCGUCCCUGGGUUCAAUCCCCAAUACCAAAAAUAAAUAAAUAAAUAGAUAGACAAAUAAACAAAUAAAUAAAUCGGAGGACUUAUCAUCACAAUAAUUAAACCACUAUUACUAUCCAUAAUGUCAUUUAGCCUUCAGUGACUCCUGGGAGAGGAGAGUGGACAAGCAUUCAGUGGGGGUGAGGUCUGGCCUCCCAGCUUUCUCUCCAGAUCUCGGACAGCCCUAGGUCCUGAGCCCGCGGGGUCUGAACGGCCUGCAGCAGGCAGGGCUGCAGGGGCCCAGUCACUGAGGGGUCCUACCCAGAUGGAACUGGAGCUGCAGGGUAGACCUAACUGGACAGAAGAGAGCCAGAAGACCAGGGAGUGCAGCGUGUGGUCAGGAGCCAUGGGGC
rnacentral:lncRNA from 1 species